rnacentral:rRNA from 1 species
CAGAGGUCCCAAGCGUUGUUCGGAUUCACUGGGCGUAAAGGGUGCGUAGGUGGUGAGGUAAGUCGGAUGUGAAAGCUCGGAGCUCAACUCCGAAAUGGCAUUGGGAACUACCUUGCUCGAGGGUUGGAGGGGGGACUGGAAUGCUUGGUGUAGCAGUGAAAUGCGUAGAUAUCAAGCGGAACACCAGUGGCGAAGGCGAGUCCCUGGACAACUCCUGACACUGAGGCACGAAAGCUAGGGGAGCAAACAGGAUUAGAUACCCUGGUAGUCCUAGCCGUAAACGGUGCACGUUUGCUGUAAAAGGAAUCGACCCCUUUUGUGGCGUAGCCAACGCGUUAAACGUGCCGCCUGGGAAGUACGGUCGCAAGAUUA